rnacentral:rRNA from 1 species
CACUGUAGAGAGUUUGAUCAUGGCUCAGGAUGAACGCUGGCGGCGUGCUUAACACAUGCAAGUCGAACGAUGAACCUCACUUGUGGGGGGAUUAGUGGCGAACGGGUGAGUAACACGUGAGUAACCUGCCCUUAACUCUGGGAUAAGCCUGGGAAACUGGGUCUAAUACCGGAUAUGACUCCUCAUCGCAUGGUGGGGGGGUGGAAAGCUUUAUUGUGGUUUUGGAUGGACUCGCGGCCUAUCAGCUUGUUGGUGAGGUAAUGGCUCACCAAGGCGACGACGGGUAGCCGGCCUGAGAGGGUGACCGGCCACACUGGGACUGAGACACGGCCCAGACUCCUACGGGAGGCAGCAGUGGGGAAUAUUGCACAAUGGGCGCAAGCCUGAUGCAGCGACGCCGCGUGAGGGAUGACGGCCUUCGGGUUGUAAACCUCUUUCAGUAGGGAAGAAGCGAAAGUGACGGUACCUGCAGAAGAAGCGCCGGCUAACUACGUGCCAGCAGCCGCGGUAAUA